GACGAACGCUGGCGGCGUGCUUAACACAUGCAAGUCGAGCGGUAAGGCCCUUUCGGGGGUACACGAGCGGCGAACGGGUGAGUAACACGUGGGUGACCUGCCCUCAGCUCUGGGAUAAGCCUGGGAAACCGGGUCUAAUACCGGAUAUGACUCCAUGACGCAUGUUGUGGGGUGGAAAGCCUUGUGCGGCUGAGGAUGGGCCCGCGGCCUAUCAGCUUGUUGGUGGGGUGAGGCCUACCAAAGGCGACGACGGGUAGCCGGCCUGAGAGGCGACCGGCCACACUGGGACUGAGACACGGCCCAGACUCCUACGGGAGGCAGCAGUGGGGAA
rnacentral:rRNA from 1 species